UGUAGUCAGUCCGGUUUUUGAGGUAUAAUUAUGGCAAGGAGAGUGUGGUGCCCUUAACACACCCUCAAGCCUGGUGAGGAGGAUCUGAUGGCUCACUGUGUCAAAAGCGGCACUCAGGUCAAGAAGAAUCAGAAUGUUGAGGGCACCAGCAUCAGCAGAGGUCAGGAGGUAAUCAACAACUUUGAGGAGUUCAGUUUCAGUACUGUGGAGUGGGCGGUAAACCAGACUGGAGGGGCUCUAACAGAAUUACCCUGACAAAAUUGGCGAUGAGGAUGGGAUGGCUAACUGCGCUUGCUGAUUGCUCCCGAGGAGACCAAGAUUACCUACGCACAGGGCUGCGUUAGAUGUGACUCGGGAGCCCACACUCUGACUAAAACGGAGCAGAAAUGGACACGCCUCGAACUGACUGUCACGACCUGGCCAUAGAGAGGCUUUUUAUUCUCUAUUUUGGUUAGGCCAGGGUGUGACUAGGGUGGGCAUUCUAGGUCCUUUUUUCUAAGUUUAGUAUUUCUAUGUCUUGGCCUGGUAUGGUUCUCAAUCGGGGACAGCUGUCUAUCGUUGUCUCUGAUUGAGAACCAUACUUAGGUACCCUUUUCCCCCACCUGUUUUGUGGGAAGUGAACUCUGUAGUUGUUCAGGGCACAUAGCCCAAAGCUUCAAAGUUGGGUUUUUGUUCUUCGUUUUGUUCGGCGUCAUUUUUAUAUAAAGUACAAAUGUACGCUUA